GACGUAGGGCGCAAGCGUUGUCCGGAAUUAUUGGGCGUAAAGAGCUCGUAGGCGGUGUGUCACGUCGAUCGUGAAAACUUUCAGCUUAACUGGGAGCUUGCGGUCGAUACGGGCAUCACUGGAGUUCGGCAGGGGAGACUGGAAUUCAAGGUGUAGCGGUGAAAUGCGCAGAUAUCUUGAGGAACACCGGUGGCGAAGGCGGGUCUCUGGGCCGAUACUGACGCUGAGGAGCGAAAGCGUGGGGAGCGAACAGG
rnacentral:rRNA from 1 species